CUGUGGUGCUGGUGCUCAGAAUAGGCUGAGGCAGUGCAACAAUCCUCUACCUGCCAAUGGAGGCCGACACUGUGCAGGAUCAGACUUAGAGACACGCCGUUGUCAAGGGAAACCCUGUCCAGUGGAUGGUAACUGGUCAGAGUGGUCUCUCUGGGAGGAGUGUUCACGUACCUGUGGUCAGGGCAACAGAACCAGAGUCCGAACCUGCAGUAAUCCUCCAGCCCAGCAUGGAGGCAGGCCAUGUGAGGGAAAGGCAGUGGAGGUCAUCAUGUGCAGUGUCAGACCAUGUCCAGUGGCAGGUAACUGGGGGUCUUGGCUACCAUGGAGCCCAUGCAGUGAGACCUGUGGUAAGGGUAUGCAGUCCAGGAUCCGGCUAUGCAACAACCCCCCUCCAGCAUUUGAUGGGCCGCAGUGUGAGGGCACAGACACACAAACACAAG
ensembl:lncRNA